rnacentral:rRNA from 1 species
UACGAAGGGGGCUAGCGUUGCUCGGAAUCACUGGGCGUAAAGCGCACGUAGGCGGCUUUUUAAGUCAGGGGUGAAAUCCUGGAGCUCAACUCCAGAACUGCCUUUGAUACUGGCGAUCUUGAGUCCGGGAGAGGUGAGUGGAACUGCGAGUGUAGAGGUGAAAUUCGUAGAUAUUCGCAAGAACACCAGUGGCGAAGGCGGCUCACUGGCCCGGUACUGACGCUGAGGUGCGAAAGCGUGGGGAGCAAACAGGAU